CCUACGGGAGGCAGCAGUGAGGAAUAUUGGUCAAUGGACGAGAGUCUGAACCAGCCAAGUAGCGUGAAGGAUGACUGCCCUAUGGGUUGUACACUUCUUUUAUAUGGGAAUAAAAUGUUUCACGUGUGGGAUUUUGUAUGUACCAUAUGAAUACGGAUCGGCUAACUCCGUGCCAGCAGCCGCGGUAAUACGGAGGAUCCGAGCGUUGUCCGGAUUUAUUGGGGUUAAAGGGAGCGUAGAUGGGUUGUUAAGUCAGUUGUGAACGUUUGCGGCUCAACCGUAAAAUUGCAAUUGAUACUGGCAGCCUUGAGUACAGUUGAGGUAGGCGGAAUUCGUGGUGUAGCGGUGAAAUGCUUAGAUAUCACGAAGAACUCCGAUUGCGAAGGCAGCCUACUAAACUGCCACUGACAUUGAUGCUCGAAAGUGUGGGUAUCAAACAGGAUUAGAUACCCCUGUAGUC
rnacentral:rRNA from 1 species